CCCAGCAUUUAAUACAGCGCCUGGCACGUAGGAAGAGCUUAACAAAUAGCAUUAUUAUUGUAAUUAAAUACCACCUUUUGAUCCAAACACAUGCGGAUGGAUCCGCUCCAAUGCCCAGUGUUGACAGAGUAGCUAAAACGGAAAAAGAGAAGAGAUUUGACAUGAACGCACAGAGAGAGGACUCACCGAUUAAGAUGCUAAACGUCUACGGAUUAUCCCCCCGCGGCUGCCGGCUUCCGGGAUACCGGGAACCUUCUGGGAGCGGCCUCCCUUCCGCGCCGGCUCCGGUCCCCAGCCCGCCGUUUUCCCGGAGCCCUCCCGCUCAGCCUAGCCGGGGGUAGGCUGCCCCCCUGGAGGGGCCGGAUGAGCCUCGGGAACAGCUCUUCCACAUUAGGACAGUAACACUGUCUGGAUGCGUCGGCGAUUCUGGGCCUCUCUCUCGAGCACAUCGAAACGAAUAAACUAGGCUCUACUGGAUAUGAAAGUUCUACCUGGUAAGGACGUGGACGUGGCAUCCUAAAGUGGAUUAGAACUUCCUCCAAAGGAGAAAUGUUAGUACAUUAACUUAACUCUAUAGACUAUAUUAUGCGGCAAACCUUCACUCUAGAAAGUAAUCCUAUUUUUUUUCCCUUUUUUUUUUUCUUUUUUGUAACCUCAGUGAUCGACUGUUGAGCGCGGGCGGGCCCCGGGAGUCGAGGGGGUCCAGAGCUCGGGCCUCCCCGACGCUCCGGAGCUCUACGGCUUCUCAGGUCCGGGGAGAAAGAAGACGCGAGCCGUGUGCGUUGAGCUAACUUUAUUCACGUUCGCGCUGACCGAGUCCCUCGCCCGGGAUCCCGGGGCCCGAACCCGCCUGAGCGCCCUUGGACCCCGAGACCUCGGCCGGGGUGGGAGGGGGACCGCCCCCCCUUCCACGCGCCCCCUCCUCCCUCCCCGGGCCCUACGUCCUUCGUUCGUAUCGUCCCAAGGAGUCCUUCGGUCCGCAAGUCUCUACAAUCCAGCUAAUUGAAAUGAAUGUUUAGUGUUCGUUAGGGCUGUUUCACAGCAGCAAAAAAUUAAG